GUACACGCUGUGACUAGCAUAUCAAUAAGCGGAGGAAAAGGUACCUACGCUUAGGAUGUUGACGCGCGUGUGUGCGUGAGUCUAUACAUGACUCUGUGCAUAUCAAUAAGCGGAGGAAAAGAAACUAACAAGGAUUCCCCUAGUAACGGCGAGUGAAGCGGGAAGAGCUCAAAUUUGAAAUCUUAAAGGGUUUCCCUUUACGAAUUGUAGUUUAAAGAAGUGUUUUCUGUUGAGGUUUUGGUAAAAGUUCUUUGGAAUAGGACAUCAUAGAGGGUGAGAAUCCCGUAUUUGACCUUUACUUUCAACUUUGUGAUACACUUUCAAAGAGUCGGAUUGUUUGGGAAUGCAGUCCAAAAUGGGUGGUAAAUUUCAUCUAAAGCUAAAUAUUGGCGAGAGACCGAUAGCGAACAAGUACCGUGAGGGAAAGAUGAAAAGAACUUUGAAAAGAGAGUUAAACAGUACGUGAAAUUGUCAAAAGGGAAGCGUUUGACACCAGUGUUGUUUUUCUGAAAAUCAAUUAAAGAACUGUUUAUGCUAAGUUGUUUAGACUUUAUCAGCUAACUGUUUAGUUUUGAGCUUUUCUUUAAUGCACUUUUCAGUUAACAAGUCAACAUCAAUUUCUUUUGCUGUAAAGAAGCUUGAGGAAGGUGGCUUGAGAUUCGUCUUAAGUGUUUAUAGCCUCUUGCCUAUGCAGUCGGAGAGAUUGAGGUCUGCAGCGUAGAUCCUUCGGGGCUAAAUGCAUUUGUGCUAAGUUAUAGCAUUUAUAGACAACUUGUUGACUAUGAUUUGUCUUGUAGCUUACUCGCUUAUGUUAUUUUACCUACGCUUAGGAUGUUGAGUCGUAGAGCACGCAG
rnacentral:rRNA from 1 species